rnacentral:rRNA from 1 species
GGGUCAGUAGGUCGGUCGUGCCACCGGUACGUACUGGUCUCACUGAUUCCUCCUUCCUGAAGAACCGUAAUGCCAUUAAUUUGGUGUUGCGGGGAAACAGGACUGUUACUUUGAAAAAAUUAGAGUGUUUAAAGCAAGCCAACGCUUGAAUACAUUAGCAUGGAAUAAUGAAAUAGGACGAUCGAUCCUAUUUUGUUGGUUUCUAGGAUUGACGUA